rnacentral:rRNA from 1 species
CCUGGUUGAUUCUGCCAGUAGUCAUAUGCUUGUCUCAAAGAUUAAGCCAUGCAUGUCUAAGUAUAAGCAAUUAUACAGCGAAACUGCGAAUGGCUCAUUAUAUAAGUUAUCGUUUAUUUGAUAGUGCCUUACUACUUGGAUAACCGUGGUAAUUCUAGAGCUAAUACAUGCUAAAAACCCCGACUUCGGAAGGGGUGUAUUUAUUAGAUACAAAACCAAUGCCCUUCGGGGCUCUUUGGUGAUUCAUGAUAACUAUACGAAUCGCACGGCCUUGCGCCGGCGAUGGUUCAUUCAAAUUUCUUCCCUAUCAACUUUCGAUGUUUGGGUAUUGGCCAAACAUGGUUGCAACGGGUAACGGAGGGUUAGGGCUCGACCCCGGAGAGGGAGCCUUAGAAACGGCUACCACAUCCAAGGAAGGCAGCAGGCGCGUAAAUUACCCAAUCCCGACUCGGGGAGGUAGUGACAAUAAAUACUGAUACAGGGUCCUUUCGGGCCUUGUAAUUGGAAUGAGAACAAUUUAAAUCCCUUAACGAGGAUCAAUUGGAGGGCAAGUCUGGUGCCAGCAGCCGCGGUAAUUCCAGCUCCAAUAGCGUAUAUUAAAGUUGUUGCAGUUAAAAAGCUCGUAGUUGAACCUUGGGCCUGGCUGGCCGGUCCGCCUCACCGCGUGCACUGGUCCGGCCGGGCCUUUCCCUCUGUGGAACCCCAUACCCUUCACUGGGCGUGGCGGGGAAACAGGACAUUUACUUUGAAAAAAUUAGAGUGCUCCAGGCAGGCCUAUGCUCGAAUACAUUAGCAUGGAAUAAUAAAAUAGGACGCGCGGUUCUAUUUUGUUGGUUUAUAGGACCGCCGUAAUGAUUAAUAGGGACAGUCGGGGGCAUCAGUAUUCAAAUGUCAGAGGUGAAAUUCUUGGAUCAUUUGAAGACUAACUACUGCGAAAGCAUUUGCCAAGGAUGUUUUCAUUAAUCAGGAACGAAAGUUAGGGGAUCGAAGACGAUCAGAUACCGUCGUAGUCUUAACCAUAAACUAUGCCGACUAGGGAUCGGACGGUGUUAUUCAUGACCCGUUCGGCACCUUACGAGAAAUCAAAGUGCUUGGGCUCCAGGGGGAGUAUGGUCGCAAGGCUGAAACUUAAAGAAAUUGACGGAAGGGCACCACCAGGGGUGGAGCCUGCGGCUUAAUUUGACUCAACACGGG